UACGUAGGGUGCAAGCGUUAUCCGGAAUUAUUGGGCGUAAAGAGCUCGUAGGCGGUUUGUCACGUCUGCUGUGAAAACUGGAGGCUCAACCUCCAGCCUGCAGUGGGUACGGGCAGACUAGAGUGCGGUAGGGGAGAUUGGAAUUCCUGGUGUAGCGGUGGAAUGCGCAGAUAUCAGGAGGAACACCGGUGGCGAAGGCGGUUCUCUGGGCCUGUACUGACGCUGAGGAGCGAAAGCGUGGGGAGCGAACAGG
rnacentral:rRNA from 1 species